rnacentral:rRNA from 1 species
GUGAGGAAUAUUGGACAAUGGGCGCAAGCCUGAUCCAGCCAUGCCGCGUGCAGGAAGACGCAUCUAUGGUGUGUAAACUGCUUUUGUACGGGAAGAAACACUCCCUCGUGAGGGAGCUUGACGGUACCGUAAGAAUAAGGAUCGGCUAACUCCGUGCCAGCAGCCGCGGUAAUACGGAGGAUCCAAGCGUUAUCCGGAAUCAUUGGGUUUAAAGGGUCCGUAGGCGGUUUAAUAAGUUAGUGGUGAAAGCCCAUCGCUCAACGAUGGAACGGCCAUUGAUACUGUUAGACUUGACUUACAAGGAAGUAACUAGAAUAUGUAGUGUAGCGGUGAAAUGCUUAGAUAUUACAUGGAAUACCAAUUGCGAAGGCAGGUUACUACUUGUGGAUUGACGCUGAUGGACGAAAGCGUGGGGAGCGAACAGGAUUAGAAACCCCUGUAGUCC